rnacentral:lncRNA from 1 species
AUUGGACUUGGACAGCUUUGUUCCUUCUCUGGGACCAAGUCAACAAGCUGGGACCAGAGGAGCUGCGGCUGUAGCACGCAGGGCCUUCCUUCAUCCCCUCAACCCUCAGCUUUGUGGCCUCUAUCUUGGACUGUCAAAGGCCAGUUUAAACAAUGGUCACACAGAGAUUCACACUUCUCGCAAGCCCCAACUCAAUCUCCUGCCAUGUUUUUCAGCUGUCUGAAUCGUGUGCACGGUUGUGGGACAUUUGGACUACAGAUAAGAAAAUGUGGCACAUAUACACCAUGGAAUAGUAUGCAGCCAUAAAAAAUGAUGAGUUCAUGUCCUUUGUAGGGACAUGGAUGAAAUUGGAAAUCAUCAUUCUCAGUAAACUAUCGCAAGGACAAAAAACCAAACACCGCAUGUUCUCACUCAUAGGUGGGAAUUGAACAAUGAGAACACAUGGACACAGGAAGGGCAACAUCACACUCUGGGGACUGUUGUGGGGUGGGGGGAGGGGGGAGGGAUAGCAUUAGGAGAUACACCUAAUGCUAAAUGACGAGUUAACGGGUGCAGCACACCAGCAUGGCCCAUGUAUACAUAUGUAACUAACCUGCACAUUGUGCACAUGUACCCUAAAACUUAAGUAUAAUAAUAAUAAAAAAAAAGAAAAAAAAAGGAGAGAUUAAUAACACAUAAAUAGCCAACUGGUGGAGCAAAACUCUCACAACCAGCCCAGGACCACCUGCCACUUGAUUCGUAUGUACGAGAGAAAUAAUUUAUCUAGUGUAUUCUAUUUUUUAUUUUUUCUAUUGCUCCUGUAACAAAUUACCACUGUAUUAGUAGCUUAAAACAACUUGAAUUUAUUUUCAUACAGUUUUGGAUGUCAGAAGUCCAAAAUUCAAGGUGCAGGACUGCUUUCUUUCUGGAGGCCCUAGGGGAAGAAUCUGUUUCCCUGCUUUUUCCAGUGUGUAGAAGUCACCUACAUUCCUUAGGUCACGGCCUCUUCCUUGCAUUACAGCAACCUCUGCUUCAGUCAUCACAUUUUCUUUUCUGACUCUGCGCCUCCUCCCUCUCUCAUGUGAAGACUCUUGUGAUUACAUGGCGCCCACUCAAAUUGUUCAUGGUAAUUUUUUGUCUUAUAAUCUUUAACUCAAUCACAUCGGCAAAGCCUCUUUUGCUAUGUAAGGUAACAUAGUUAUGGGUUACAAACAUUAGGAUGUGGAUAUAUUUGGAGUAAGGGGGCUUUAUUCUACCUCCCACAUCUUUUAUAAACGACUGUUACUUUGGGUCAAUUUUAUACCUAACUGGACCUAAAUUCUAACUAAUAUACCCUCUUUCCCAAACUCUAUUAGCUUCUUCUUAUUAUUAUUUAUUUUUAUUAUUCUAAUUGCUACUUUCCUUGGUGAGACACUUUUUCCAAGAGUGCUUUAAAACAAGAUCUUUGUUUAGGAAACACUUUUUAAUAUGUUACAUGCACUGUUUGCCUCCCCACUUCCCAAAUAAAGGUUGCCUGAUAUUUCCUCUCUUCAUCUCAACCACUCCUCCACAGAGUGAAUCACCAACCGUCUCAUUAAAGAACACUGUCCUAUACAUAUUUGUAUUUUGUGGACCUAAAACAGUGCUUGGAAUGUGAUAUUCACUCAGCAACAGUUUGCUAAAUGAUGUAUUGAAUUGGUCUUUAUGUGAUAGCCACAACAGAAAGAGAAAAGCCAGCAAUGUAAGGAAUACAAAGAGGAAGACACUGAAGAAAAUACUAACCUACCACCCAAUGUUGCUUGUCUUGACUUCCAGAGAUGUUAAUAUCUAAGUAAAAUAGGCUUCAUAUAAAUGUAUAAAUAUAUGAAACAUCAUGCAUACAUAUGCCAUGUGUAUUGGUACCACAUAUCCUGUGAGG